AUUGAACGCUGGCGGCAUGCUUCACACAUGCAAGUCGAACGGUAACAGGGUGCUUGCACCGCUGACGAGUGGCGAACGGGUGAGUAAUGCGUCGGAACGUGCCGAGUAGUGGGGGAUAACGCAGCGAAAGUUGUGCUAAUACCGCAUACGUACUGAGGUAGAAAGUGGGGGACCUUCGGGCCUCACGCUAUUCGAGCGGCCGACGUCUGAUUAGCUAGUAGGUGAGGUAAAGGCUCACCUAGGCGACGAUCAGUAGCGGGUCUGAGAGGAUGAUCCGCCACACUGGGACUGAGACACGGCCCAGGCUCCUACGGGAGGCAGCAGUGGGGAAUUUUGGACAAUGGGCGAAAGCCUGAUCCAGCCAUGCCGCGUGUCUGAAGAAGGCCUUCGGGUUGUAAAGGACUUUUGUCAGGGAGGAAAUCCCUAGUGCUAAUAACACUGGGGGAUGACAGUACCUGAAGAAUAAGCACCGGCUAACUACGUGCCAGCAGCCGCCGUAA
rnacentral:rRNA from 1 species